rnacentral:rRNA from 2 species
GACAUGAAGUUAGGUCAGCAAACCCGCUGAAUUUAAGCAUAUAAGUAAGCGGAGGAUAAGAAACUAAAUAGGAUUCCCUCAGUAAUGGCGAAUGAACAGGGAUAAGCUCAGCAUGGAAAUCGGUGUCUCUGGCAUUGAAUUGUAGUCUCGAGUUGUACUGCCAACGGAGGCGCAGAUGUAAGCCUCUUGGAAAAGAGCAUCAACGAGGGUGAGAGUCCCGUUUGUCAUCUGCAGUCCCCCGUGCACGGUGUACUUCUAAAGAGUCACGUUCCUCGGAAAUGGAGUGCAAAGUGGGUGGUAAAUUUCAUCUAAAGCUAAAUAUAGGUUCGAGACCGAUAGCAAACAAGUACCAUGAGGGAAAGGUGAAAAGGACUUUGAAAAGAGAGUUAAAAGUGCCUGAAAUUGCUGAAAGGGAAGCGAAUGGAACCAGUGCUUCUUGGCAAGAUUGGUGCGUGCUAAUGUGAUUGCCUGCUGCUUCAGCGCAAGCGUGGUAGUGGGUUUUGAUCAGGACGUGCGUGUUGUUUCUUGCCUUGUGUGUCAACGUCAGUUCUCGAUCGAGGAAAACGCCAGGGACAUGGUAGCUCGUCUUCAGGUGAGUGAAUGUGCUUGGUUGAACUCAUUUGUGAACUGGUUCUUGCGUGUCUGGUUGCAGUGCAUUGUGUCUUCACACCCCUGGGGUGGGUUUCGAUCUUCCGCAGGUGGGGUGGGCGACCGGUGCAUCUCCCUGACACAUCGACGCUGACUAAAUGGUUCUAUUCGACCCGUCUUGAAACACGGACCAAGGA